rnacentral:rRNA from 1 species
UACGUAGGGGGCGAGCGUUGUCCGGAUUUAUUGGGCGUAAAGAGCGUGUAGGCGGUUCGGUAAGUCUGUCGUGAAAUCCUGAGGCUCAACCUCGGGCGUGCGAUGGAUACUGCCGGGCUAGAGGGUGGUAGAGGCGAGUGGAAUUCCCGGUGUAGCGGUGAAAUGCGCAGAUAUCAGGAGGAACACCAAUGGCGAAGGCAGCUCGCUGGAACGGUACUGACGCUGAGGCGCGAAAGCGUGGGGAGCGAACAGG